rnacentral:rRNA from 1 species
AUGUCCAUUGCCCCGCACACCAUUCUGCGCCCGUUCGGCGUGAAACCGUGCGCCGCCGGCGGCGGCUAUCUGAGGCGGCACGCACGGCCGUGCCUCCUCCGUGCGAGCCCCGUCAGUGCACCGGACGGGAAUGAGCCGGGCGGUAGCAAGAAGAGUAGGAGGAAGAGGCCGGCGGAGGAGUCGCGGUUGGAGGUUCUUUACGAUGACGGGUUCGGGAGCGUCACCAUGAAGGACUAUUGGGAGGCGGUGAGGGCCAUGCCCAAGGACGACGGCGGGCCGCCGCGGUGGUUCUGCCCAGUGGAGUGCGGCCGGCCGGAGGUGGACAGGGCGCCGCUGCUGCUCUUCUUGCCAGGAAUCGAAGGUGUUGGAAUGGAGCUCAUUUUGCACCACAAAUCUUUGGGCAAAGUAUUCGAGGUUUGCUGCUUCCAUAUACCAGUAAAUGACCGUACACCAUUUCAAGGUUUAUUACAAAUUGUGGAAGAAUAUGUCAAACAUGAGAAUGCUUUGUCCCCAAGCAGACCAAUAUAUAUAAUUGGGGAUUCUUUUGGUGGAUGUCUUGCAAUUUCAGUGGCAGCUCACAAUCCAGAAAUCGACUUGGUUCUUACACUAGUAAAUCCAGCAACAUCAUCUGCAAAAGCUUCGUUGCAGGCAGUAUUGCCUCUUUUGGAAGUAGUGGCGACCAACCUUCCAUUUAUACAUCCUCACCUUCUCAAAUAUUCAAUGGGUAAUCCUCUUAAUAUGGCUAUGGUUAGCCUUGAGAAUAGUCUUUCUCCACAAGAGACUCUACAAGAAUUUUCAAACAAACUCACUUCAAUGCUACCUUUAGUUUCCGAACUAGAAGAUAUAAUACCAAUGGGUGCCCUCAUGUGGAGACUUAAUCUUCUCAAGUCAGGUGCAGACUAUGCCAACUCACAACUUCACAUGGUACAAGGAGAAGUUCUACUUCUUGCAAGUGGGAGUGGGAAUCUGCCACCUAGUGGAGAAGCAGACCGACUAUUUAAGUCACUGAAAAAUUGCAAAGUUCGGUACUUUAGGAACCGGGGCGACAGACUACUCAUGGAGGAUGGCUUCAACCUUCUAACUGUCAUAAAAGGGGUAAAAAUGUACCGCCGUGGUAGACAAUGGGACUGUGUGAACGAUUUCCUGUCACCCACAUUAAGUGAAUUCAACAGAACAUUUGGUGAAGAUUUCAAACUGUUUCAUCAGUUAUUGAGCCCAGCCAUGCUCUCUACAAUGAAAAAUGGGAAAAUUGUCCAUGGCCUUGCCGGUGUUCCUGACAAAGGUCCUGUCUUGUUUGUGGGAUAUCACCAACUCUUGGCCAUGGAGUGGGCUGCACUAAUCGAAGGGUUCUUAAGGGAGAAAAGAACAGUUAUCCGAACAGGGGCCCAUCAAGUAUUUUUUGCUGGAAAUUAUGAGACACUACGCCAGGAGUUGUCUCUGUUUGAUUUUGUUUCUAUGUACGGCGCGGUUCCAGUCAGUCCGAUCAAUACGUACAAAUUGUUUGAGAGAAAUGAAUUUGUUCUCCUCUAUCCAGGCGGUGUGAGAGAAGCUCUACAUAGGAAGGGCGAAGCAUACAAAUUGUUUUGGCCAGAUCAAACCGAAUUUGUAAGAAUGGCAGCACGGUUUGGAGUUACCGUCAUACCAUUUGGUUGUGUGGGAGAAGAUGACUUUUUGGAGAUAGUUGUGGACUACAAUGAUCAAAAGAACAUACCCUAUAUCAGAGACGAGAUAAAGUCAUUCAACAGAGAUUUAACAAGAUUAAGGGACACUGUGAAAGGAGAGGAUGGGAAUCAAGUCUUGCAUCUGCCUGUUGUUCUGCCAAAAUUACCAGGGCGGCUAUAUUUCCUAUUUGGGAAGCCAAUCGAGAUGAAAGGAAUGGACAAUGUGUUGACAGAUAGGAAGAAGGCAAACCAAGUAUAUUUUCAAAUUGAAACAGAAGUGGAGAAUGCAAUAUCUUACCUAAAGAGGAAGAGAAACGAAGAUCCUUACCGGAGUAUUGCACGACGUGCGUUGUACCAGGCAACUUGGGGUCCUUCUGCUCAAGUGCCUACUUUCGAACCGUGA